rnacentral:piRNA from 1 species
UAGUCUUGAAAACGGCCCAUUAGGGUCCUGGA